rnacentral:tRNA from 1 species
GGGGACUUGGUGUAGCCCGGUGGCACAGCAGGCUCCAGACCUGUCGGUCGGGGGUUCAACUGGGAUUCGCAAAUCGCGGUUCUUGGACACAUCCCUCAGUCCCCA